GGCUGCAGGUAGACCUCAUCCUGGGGGCCUUGGGAGCCAUCAGAAGUGCAGUCUCUCUGGCAGCAGUAAGAGUCAGAGCCCUGCUUAGAAAAGUCAGCUGACUGCCUACCUUUCCUCCAGAUGCCUCUUUCUCCUCUUCUGCCUUUCAAAGAAGCAGUAGUUGCCCCUACUAUGGAAGUCAGGAGAAAAGAGGUAGGAAGGAGAGGAGGAGCCUGAACGGACUGAGGCAGAAGGUGUGAGGAUCCGGAACAAGGUGCGGUUCAGAGAUGACGAGUCUCUGACAGAAUGGAUCGGAUUCUAGCAUCAGUGGGCACCGGCCACUUGCCAGGGGCCAACGGCUCCCAGUGGAUCCCAGGAUGGGGGGCUGCCUGGAUUCCCUUCUUCCCAUGCCCUGGCCUGUGAACCAGUAAAACCCUGCUCUGUGGCAUUUGCUGGUUUCCAUGGCAUAAACACUUACGCUGUGGCUGCCUUUCGGCUCUGUGCACCGUGACGUCACUGACCGCGGAGCUCGGAAGAGAUGCACAGCGAGCUCUUAUGACGGGGAUGAGCUCAUCCCAGCCCACAAGUUGGAGCCCACGUUAAGCCCCAGAAGUCAGCUUGCAGACUCGCAGAGCAUCAGGACUCAAGAGGCAAGGGACGGGAAGCCAGUUUAUUUUACCUCGGCCUUCCCGUCUGUGUCCCGGAGCCGGGGAUGACACCUUAUUUGCUGAGACCCACUGUGUGCCUGGCCCCAUGGGGCCCUGGACCAGAAGCCAAUGCCUGUGGGAUGAGGGGAUGACGGGCGGGCGGCUGGGCCCGGUUCCCCUGUGACCAGGGCGUGAGCCACAGCCCCGAACCAGCCCCUCUGCGCUUCCGGCUCCUUCACCGAGAAAUGCCCCCUCACGGACGUGCUGCGGGAACCCCCGGGGCGAAUGCAGGUGAGCGGAUGCUUCAGUUUUUAGUUGAAAA
rnacentral:lncRNA from 1 species